rnacentral:rRNA from 1 species
CGACCCCAGGAUGGGCGGGAUGACCCGCU